GCCGGUGUAACUCAGCCUGGUAGCCUUUUGCAAGAGGACUACAGAUGUCGUGGGAUUUCACCUGAAUAUCCCACUGGAACGCUUUUGGUCAAGCUUUUCGCAAAAGGUUGUGGCAAUUAGAGUGAUGCUCUCAUAAGGCAUAAGUCGGGAGUUCAAAUCUCCUCACCGGCA
rnacentral:tRNA from 1 species